UACGAACCGUACAAACGUUAUUCGGAAGCACUGGGCUUAAAGGGUGCGUAGGCGGCCACGUAGGUGAGAUGUGAAAUCCCUCGGCUCAGCCGAGGAAGUGCAUUUCAUACUGCAUGGCUUGAGGGAGACAGGGGUAAGCGGAACUGAUGGUAGAGCGGUGAAAUGCGUUGAUAUCAUCAGGAACACCGGUGGCGAAAGCGGCUUACUGGGUCUCUUCUGACGCUGAGGUACGAAAGCUAGGGGAGCGAACGGG
rnacentral:rRNA from 1 species